rnacentral:rRNA from 1 species
UGGGGAAUAUUGGACAAUGGGCGAAAGCCUGAUCCAGCCAUGCCGCGUGUGUGAAGAAGGCCUUUUGGUUGUAAAGCACUUUAAGCGAGGAGGAGGCUACCGAGAUUAAUACUCUNGGAUAGUGGACGUUACUCGCAGAAUAAGCACCGGCUAACUCUGUGCCAGCAGCCGCGGUAAUACAGAGGGUGCGAGCGUUAAUCGGAUUUACUGGGCGUAAAGCGUGCGUAGGCGGCUUUUUAAGUCGGAUGUGAAAUCCCUGAGCUUAACUUAGGAAUUGCAUUCGAUACUGGGAAGCUAGAGUAUGGGAGAGGAUGGUAGAAUUCCAGGUGUAGCGGUGAAAUGCGUAGAGAUCUGGAGGAAUACCGAUGGCGAAGGCAGCCAUCUGGCCUAAUACUGACGCUGAGGUACGAAAGCAUGGGGAGCAAACAGGAUUAGAUACCCUGGUAGUCCAUGCCGUAAACGAUGUCUACUAGCCGUUGGGGCCUUUGAGGCUUUAGUGGCGCAGCUAACGCGAUAAG